rnacentral:rRNA from 1 species
GACGAACGCUGGCGGCGCGCUUAACACAUGCAAGUCGAGCGAGAACCAGGGCUUCGGCCCUGGGGACAGCGGCGAACGGGUGAGUAACACGUGGGUAAUCUGCCCUCGGCACCGGAAUAGCCCGGGGAAACCCGGAUUAAUGCCGGAUGGCCCCUUCACCUCGCGAGGUGUCGGGAAAAGGUAGCUUCGGCCUCUGGCCGAGGAUGAGCCCGCGGCGGAUUAGCUUGUUGGCGGGGUAACGGCCCACCAAGGCAACGAUCCGUAGCUGGUCUGAGAGGACGAUCAGCCACACUGGGACUGAGACACGGCCCAGACUCCUACGGGAGGCAGCAGUGGGGAAUCUUGCGCAAUGGGCGAAAGCCUGACGCAGCGACGCCGCGUGAGGGAAGACGGCCUUCGGGUUGUAAACCUCUUUCAGGAGGGACGAAGCUACUCGGGUGAAUAGCCCAGAGGGUGACGGUACCUCCAGAAGAAGCCCCGGCUAACUACGUGCCAGCCGCCGCUGUAA